AUUGAACGCUGGCGGCAUGCCUUACACAUGCAAGCCGAACGGCAGCACGGGAGCUUGCUCCUGGUGGCGAGUGGCGAACGGGUGAGUAAUACAUCGGAACGUACCCAGUAGUGGGGGAUAACGCACCGAAAGGUGCGCUAAUACCGCAUACGACCUAAGGGUGAAAGCGGGGGACCGUAAGGCCUCGCGCUAUUGGAGCGGCCGAUGUCUGAUUAGCUAGUUGGUGAGGUAAAGGCUUACCAAGGCGACGAUCGGUAGCUGGUCUGAGAGGAUGACCAGCCACACUGGAACUGAGACACGGUUCAGACUCCUACGGGAGGCAGCAGUAGGGAAUAUUGGACAAUGGGGGAAACCCUGAUCCAGCGACGCCGCGUGAGUGAUGAAGGCCUUCGGGUCGUAAAGCUCUGUUGUACGGGAAGAAGAGUACAUAGCUAAUACCUGUGUGCUUUGACGGUACCGUAUAAGAAAGGACCGGCUAACUUCGUGCCAGCAGCCGCAGUAA
rnacentral:rRNA from 1 species